UGAGAAGUGGUGAAAUUAUCAUGAGCAAUUGUCACUUGUUAGUUGCACUUGGAAAGGUGCCUUCUCAU
rnacentral:tRNA from 1 species